UUUUUUUAUUCUUUAUUUUUCAGUGCAUAGCGUACAUAAUACAGUGGUAAACCGUAGAUAGAAAACAUGCAGUAUAAGUAUAGAACAUUGGGCUUGUGCACUAUUUUUAUUUUUUCAAGUUUGUGUAAGCCUAGGUAGCUUGUGUGUUGCGAGCGUGCGGUGUUCCUGUGCUGUCUUAAGGGUGAUGUCUCAUCAUGCUGAGAGUGCCAGUGGAGGGCUACUGAGCUGGAUACUUGGCAUAUGUGCCUGCGUACGUUUGUGAGGUGAGUUAGCAAUGAGCGCAUAUAACAGUGCGGGCUCUGUUAGUAUGUGUUCGUUGCGGUGGCAGAGCGUGUGAUAUGCCGUGGUUAGGUCUAUGCGCUGGGUGUGUUCACUCCUAACCGAGGGAGUGGCGGGGGGGGUGUCGGCACGUGUGCAGGAUUCUGGGGUCACCCAUGGGAUUAUGUGUGAUGGGAGAGGUCGUUCCCUGUUGCGGGAAAGGUUGGUGUUGUGGUGGUGUCUCUGACCCUGGGCUGUGCACCAUGUUGCUAGCUUUUUCUUAAUGAGCAAUCUUGGUGAGUGAAGUAAAGGGGAGAGAGAAGGGAAGCACUUAAGUGUAUGUUAAUAUAGUAUAGCUGAACUUACUAUUCUGAGCCUAGAGUCCUGAACAUGUGGUGUCAUGGGAAACAUGGAAACGUUGUGCAGGGUAAGUAAGUCUCUGACAGGUUCUUCAAAGCCUUAUGUCGGAUCGUUUCUUGAACUUGUUCCUGGUUCCGUCGCUUGUGUGCUCUCGGACCUCGGGACCAAUGAUGCUAUGCGUUCUGGGUUCCAAGUGGUCGCGGCAGUGGAGGCUCUCUGGGGUGUGCUGACCGCCAGGGGUGCUAGGUCUAGCACUGUCAGGAAUGGUGCUGCGUCUUCUAUCGAUGUGAGCGUGUGCAGGCUUUCAUUUCGGGUCACCAUCAGGGAUCCGUUUGUUCCCCACCUGUAGCUUAUGUUUGCUGAUCGGAGCUGGUUUGUCACUGGAUGGAA